UACGGAGGGUGCAAGCAUUAAUCGGAUUUAUUGGGCGUAAAGAGCGUGUAGGCGGGAAGGCAAGUCAGACGUGAAAGCCCGGGGCUCAACCCCGGAACUGCGUUUGAAACUGCCUUUCUUGAGGGUAGGCGGAGAAAACGGAAUUCCACAAGUAGCGGUGAAAUGCGUAGAUAUGUGGAAGAACACCGGUGGCGAAGGCGGUUUUCUAGCUUAUUCCUGACGCUAAAGCGCGAAAGCUAGGGGAGCAAACAGG
rnacentral:rRNA from 1 species